rnacentral:tRNA from 1 species
CCUGGCCGGGGCGUCCCUCGGGUCGACGCCGUUCCCCUGCCGGGGGUUCCGGGGGCCGCCGUCCCGCCCCUCGGGCCGGGUCCGCGCCCCCGGGCCGGGA